GCGGGUAUAGCUCAGGGGUAGAGUGUAUGCUUAGCAUGCACAAGGUCCUGGGUUCAAUCCCCAGUGCGUCCA
rnacentral:tRNA from 1 species